rnacentral:misc_RNA from 1 species
CUUGGCCCACACCGACGACGCGACAGUUUUGAACGGAACUUGCUGGUGCUUGGAUCGCAGCUCCGCCGAUCUCCGCGAGGUUGAAACCAACGACUUCGAUUUCGUCGCUCAAAUCACAUAUCAUAAAUCGCCAAAUACAAAAGCCUAGUUGUGCACAUCUAUAUAUUUUUUUUCUGUUUGUUUUCCGUUUGCGUGCUAAACCAUUUGUGCUGGUGAUCUUCGUGUGGAACAUAAAAACCUAAUAUUCUGAAUUUUCAAGCCGUGUUUCCAAAAGACUAAUUGCAACAGUUUCCGUGUCUUUAAUCCAUUGGAAGCUGUUCCUCCAACACAACUGCAUGGCCAUGUCCCGCAACCGAAACCGAAUCCUUGUGCCCAUGCAGCAGCUGCUCCUCCUGCCACUGCUGCUCCUCGUCCUCCUGGUCGUGGGCAAGGCAGCGGCGGGCUCCUUGGUGUCCCCGAACAACAGGCAGCCAUCGCAGCGCUUCUUCUACGCCGCCGCCACAUCCUCCUCCUCCUCCUCGCAGACGAAGGUGCGCCUGCUCCGCCAGGCGGAGGAUCCCAAUGCGGCGCCGGCUGCACUGGAGGGCAGCUGCUGUCAAGGAGCAGCCGCCGAAGCAGGAAAACCAUUGACGCUGCCACUGGCCGUGUCCGCUGAGCUGACCAACGUGACCGCCGACUACGAUGUCUCCGGCGAGAUGCCCUCCUCCAAGGAAAACUUCAAGCGCAGCAUCAUGAAAUCAACCGUGAGGAAUGCGACGCCGGCGAGCUGCUCCCCGCAACCGACGAUCGUGGAGCUGAAGCCGCCGGCGGAGGAUGAGGCCAACUACUACUACAUGCCGGCAUGUACGCGGAUCAGCCGGUGCAAUGGAUGCUGCGGUUCCACGCUGAUCUCCUGCCAGCCAACGGAGGUGGAGCAGGUGCAGCUGCGGGUGCGCAAGGUGGACCGGGCGGCCACCAGCGGUCGCAGACCCUUCACCAUCAUCACCGUGGAGCAGCACACGCAGUGUCGCUGCGAUUGCCGCACAAAGGCGGAGGACUGCAACGUAUACCAGUCGUAUCGCAAGGAUCUGUGCCGCUGCGAGUGCCACAACACGGACGCGAGGGACAAGUGCCUGGAGCAGGCGGAGAACAAGUACUGGGUGGACGACAACUGCACCUGCGUCUGUCGCUACAACCAGAGCUGCACCACCGGCACCGUCUUCGAUGAGACGCAGUGCAAGUGCACCGACGUGAGUGGCUCCCGAUAGGACACAACGGUGGCUCCCUUUGAGGCUCCACGGUCAGGGAUCUGGUCUGGUUUCGAACUGGGGAUCGGUUGUGCUCGUCCUUGGUUGGUUUGCGGUUGCUUCCUGGUGGUGGCUCCCUAGCUUAAGCUGUCCCGACAAGUUCCUCGCUUAUUUAUUGUAUUUCUUUCGUAUACUUACUAGUUUCUUGACCACUUAUAGAACUACUUAAUAAUAGAGUUUGAAAGCUAUUGCUUAGAAGGAUUUUCAAAAUCACAGAAGUUCACUCUGCGCGAUUUCUUUAGCACUAUUUGUGGUAAAUUCUGCCUAGAAGUUUACUUCGUUUUAUUUGACAUAUUAAACCAACCAUUUAAAUCACCAACUUUUCCAAAUAAUACAAAUACAUUUGCAGUUAAAUUAGUACAUUAGUUAGCAAAAAAACACUAAAUAGAUAUUAGUUCACAGUACUCAGGUUGCACUGUCUCGUUUUUGGUUUUUGCUUAAACUUAGAGUAGACUGUUUUAAUACUGUUUAUUACUGUUUGCUCAACUGCUGGCACACACUCCAUACCUUUUACGUAAUUUAAGUCACUUUAUAAAUGUACGUAUGUUUUCACUGCUGUUUCUUUUGUGUUUCGUUUUAGAUUAAAAAUGUCGAGUAUUAUUCUUAGAGUCCACAAAAAACACAACACACACACACAACACACAAAAUAUGUUCGAUUGCGUAUGCUAAAACUCUUGUGAUACUGUUUAAAUUAACUUUCUCGAACCAAAAAAAAAAACUAACUUUAAAUUAGCAACUUCUGCUUAGCGAUUGGUUAAGGAUUGACAAAUAAAUGAAAAUACACUUAAUAAUUAUAUAGCUGAGUUGAGGCAAAAAGAGGGAGAAGGGAGUUGCAUUGUCCGGCUGCACCCAUCAAUGUGUUGGACCGCAAGCGCUUCAUUGUCCAGGCGGUACAGGUGGACCCCGAUAACACCACCCUGUACAGCGUUU